rnacentral:rRNA from 1 species
UACGAAGGGGGGCUAGCGUUGUUCGGAAUUACUGGGCGUAAAGCGCACGUAGGCGGCGCGGUAAGUCGGGUGUGAAAUCUCGGAGCUUAACUCCGAAACUGCAUUCGAUACUGCCGUGCUUGAGGACUGGAGAGGAGACUGGAAUUUACGGUGUAGCGGUGAAAUGCGUAGAUAUCGUAAGGAAGACCAGUGGCGAAGGCGGGUCUCUGGACAGUUCCUGACGCUGAGGCACGAAGGUCAGGGGAGCAAACGGG